CGGGUUAUUAAGUCGGGUGUGAAAUCCAAUGGCUCAACCAUUGAACUGCAUUCGAAACUGAUAACCUAGAGUAUGGAAGGGGCAGGUGGAAUUAGUGGUGUAGGGGUAAAAUCCGUAGAUAUCACUAGGAAUACCGAAAGCGAAGGCGACCUGCUGGGACAUUACUGACGCUGAGGCGUGAAAGCGUGGGGAGCAAACAGGAUUAGAUACCCUGGUAGUCCACGCCCUAAACGAUGAAUGCUAGUCGUCGGGGAGCUCGUCUCUUCGGUGAUGCACUUAACAGAUUAAGCAUUCCGCCUGGGGAGUACGGUCGCAAGAUUAAAACUCAAAGGAAUAGACGGGGACCCGCACAAGUGGUGGAGCAUGUGGUUUAAUUCGAAGAUACGCGAAGAACCUUACCUAGCCUUGACAUUGAUUGAAUUUUCCAGAGAUGGAGAAGUGCCUUUCGGGGAACAUGAAAACAGGUGCUGCACGGCUGUCGUCAGCUCGU
rnacentral:rRNA from 1 species